AGGAGUAUUCUGGCAGGAGCAGAGCUCUCCAAAUUAACCAUGAAAAGUGGGUUACACAGGAUAAUGGCUCCCUAAAAUGUCCAUAUCCUGACAAAAUGAACUUUGAUUAAAUUGAUUGACAGAGUGACAUUAACUGACGGCUUAAUGAUGGAGGAAGGAGCCAUAAGCCAAAGAAUGCAGGCAGCUUCCAGAAGGUCUCCAAGACUUGAAGAUUAUGGUCCUCUUAAGUCCCUGAAUGCAAAGGAAGAAGCCAAACCAUACCUCAUAAUACAGGAAUGGAAACAUCCCUUAAAUCCAGGCCACUUCCUGUGGUUGAGCAAGUGGUCACUGCACCAAAGAUGCCCAGCCACUGGUGUGACAUUCAAAUCCAGCUCAUGCUUUACUGCUCAGACCAGUCCAGACCACUAGCUCACUGAGUCCACUUGGAGGAAGGUUAUCUGUUUUCUUUGCCCAAAGGCUUUGUCUGCUUGCCAAGCUCUAAGCCCACAAAGAUGCUGCUUUCCAGAAGGAAGCCACCUGUAUGGAAAGAAAGGCUGGUAUGGUGACAUAAGUGUCGGGUCUACAAGGUGACCAGGAAAAGAUGCUCAAGACCAAAGACUGUGACACAGACUGACAAUCCCAUCCUGCCUCCACGGCUCACGACCUACGGGACUUCACUGACCCCCUUCAAAGACAGCCUCCUCAUCUACAAAACGGGGCUAAAAGAAGCAACUCCCUGAAAGCGUGGCUAUGAGAAUAAGUCCAUCAUACGUGUAACCAACUGUGCUACACAUGUCAGCUGUUGUGCUAUCAUUCACUUUCCAUCAUUGUCUAGUUGUUGUGUGGCCACUAGGUCUUCAACAGCAGUUCCACAUGGAACAGACACGUGAUGCAGGUGUGGGCAGGACGUGGAGGAGCUGGGUCCAGCACACUCACAGCCCUGGGCCAGCAGCAGCCCUUCAGGGAGCAGGGGAACAAGUUUACUGGAAAAAUCAGCUGCAGAAAGGACUGACAUGUCUGUUUAUCUCGUCAGCCCUGGCGUGCCUGCUGUCGAGCUGAUGAGCUCACAGGGCAAGAGCCUUUUCCUGCCAGAUUAGGGUCUGCUCCCGGUCCAGUGCCUGUGAUGUGCCUAAAUACACAUGCUGCCCCUACGGAGAUCUCUGCCAAACGUUUGGACUCACGGCCUCAUUUCUGGGACUUGUCAAAUGUUAUUUGUUGUACAAACCCAUGGGGAAGCAAAUCCUUUGUGGAGAGGCCUGGAAACAAGCCCUGUGGUGGGGCUGACAGGGCCUGCUGUGGAGCCCCGAGAAGUUCACACACGGAGUCCUGUGGAGCACAGCAUUCCAUAAAGACCAGCUGACACACACGGGGUAUUUCCAACCUUCUCUUGGAUAAAGGGUAUCUAGUGGUGAUGAGCAUGUGGGGGAAAGCUGAGGCUAAGUUUACCCUUGGGGGAAGAUGCACUGCUGCUUCUAAACUCUGCUAUGCCUACCCUUUUUUCUGUUUAUAUUAGCUACCUAUAUUCAUUUCAAAGUAUUUGGAGGAAACAGAAAAGAUGUAAAUACAAAACAUACAUAAUCUACCAUCACAAUCAAUUACUGAAUGUCCUGAUAACAUGCCUUAUAGUGUUAAUAUGUGCAUAUUUACAUAGGUAUGUAGAUGUGUGCAUAAAUAUGCAUUCAUACAUGUUUACUUUUUGAUAAAAAUAUACAAGCAUAUUGUU